GUCUUCAUGGAUGGAAACAUUUUCAGGAACAAUGAUGGUAGCCAUUGUUCAGCUCUUCAAUCUUUCACUAGAGAUACUUUUAAUUUCUCUGGAAUGACACUCCUAUUUAUAAUGCUAAGAAAUGUAAUUUUACUAAGGCCUUGUUUAACUUAAGAAUUAAGAAUCAUUAAUGACAUUUUAAAACUUGUUUACCCGCUAAUACAUGUGACUUAAUAUGCAUUAGUUGGCUUAGAUUCUCAUACAAUCACUGUGCCAUGUGUUGGCAUUCUCUGAUAGGUUCUUCUAGUACACAUUUAUUCCACUUCUGUUUUUGCAUGGAUUACAAAUGCACAAAUAUUCCUUUACAUAAAAAGGACAUGGGUUAAAUCAUAAAUGAGACACUUUGAAUUUUGAGCCAUUUACUUCUCUGC